rnacentral:rRNA from 1 species
GACGAACGCUGGCGGCGUGCUUAACACAUGCAAGUCGAGCGGAAAGGCCCUUCGGGGUACUCGAGCGGCGAACGGGUGAGUAACACGUGAGUAACCUGCCCUUGGCUCUGGGAUAGCUCCGGGAAACCGGAAUUAAUACCGGAUAUGACCUCGGCCGACAUCGGCUGUGGUGGAAAGAUUUAUCGGCCAGGGAUGGGCUCGCGGCCUAUCAGCUAGUUGGUGGGGUAACGCCUACCAAGGCGACGACGGGUAGCCGGCCUGAGAGGCGACCGGCCACACUGGGACUGAGACACGGCCCAGACUCCUACGGGAGGCAGCAGUGGGGAAUAUUGCGCAAUGGGCGAAAGCCUGACGCAGCGACGCCGCGUGGGGAUGAA